UUUGCCCACAUGCGUGAGAGCAGCUCAGUUUGUUGACUUCAGUCAAAAUACAGUUUAUUUACUGUUUUCGUAUUAUACCGUGACUAUUUAAAAUACGCUAACAGUUCGUUUAAGUCUGUAAUGCCCGUUAGUCUCCACUCACACGUCCCUGUCCGGUGUAACAUGGUGGACGCGGAUGAAAUCGCCAACUUGUGCUACGAGCGCUUCAACCAGCUGCCGCGGAGAGGGAAGCCUGAGCCGGGCAGAGAGUGGACCCUGCUGGCCGCUGUGGUCAAAAUCACCCAGAGUGCUAACUCCGACACAGUUAAAAAGGAGGUGGUUUCCAUGGGAACUGGGACUAAAUGUGUUGGACAGACACUUAUGAGUCCCAGAGGUGACAUACUCAACGACAGCCAUGCAGAAGUCAUCGCCAGAAGAGGAUGUAUCAGGUACCUGAUCCAGGAGCUGCACAGGGCUGUGAGUGGUGAGGACAGCUCUGUGUUUGGUCCAGCAGAUCAGACGGGCAAGUGGAGGCUUCAGCCAGGAGUUUCCUUCCUCUUCUUUACCAGUCACACUCCCUGUGGUGACGCCUCCAUCAUCCCCAUGACGGACAGCCAGUCUCAGCCCUGUCCCCGUGUCAGAUCUGUAAAGGGUCGUGAGGGUAGUGACGCAGGAGACCUGAAGAGGAAAGCCGAGGAACCAAGCGAAUGGCAUAACACUAAGCUGGCCCGUCUGGAGGAACAAGAGACAGCAGAGACGAGUCUAGAGGACAGAGGAGACGCACAAAGAUCCUUCACUUCAAAUUCAUCUAAAAGUGAAGAUCCAUCACAGAGCGACUCUACAGAAACACCCGAGCAAACUGUCUCACAAGCAUCGGCACAGCUUGAGAUAAAAAGUCCCCCUGAUAGUGUUGGACUGCAUCCACAUGUCCCGGACGUUCACAGAACGGGGGCCAAGUGUGUCCCAGGUGUCCCAGCUGACCCUCUGCAUCCUGGGAUGGGGUACCACAGCACAGGGGUGCUUCGGGUGAAGCCUGGGCGAGGAGAACCGACUCUGUCCCUGUCUUGCAGUGACAAGCUGUCCCACUGGACGGUGCUGGGCUUCCAGGGUGCACUGCUGUCCCAUUACCUACAGGAGGCGCUCUACUUCAGUAUCAUCGUGGUGGGGAAGUGCCCUUACAGCGAGGAGGUCAUGCAGAGAGCUUUGGUCAGGAGGUGCUCCCAUGUAUCACACCUCCCUGCUGGUUUCUCAGUGUGUCCACCACUGCUGCUUCAGUCCAGCCUGGAGUUCCCCUUCAGCCAGGCCCAGACCGAGCUCCGACACCAGGCUGGACAGGGACGCAUCUCCCCCUGUGGGGCAGCCAUCAGUUGGUGUAAUGUGACCGAGCAGCCACUAGAUGUCACUGCCAACGGCUACAAACAUGGAGUCACGAAGAAGGACUUGGGCACAGCUAAAGCCAGGUCUCUUCUGUGUAAACUGGAGCUGUUCCACUCCUUCCUGUCUCUGGUAGCAGCCACUGACCCUUCAGCACUUCCCCAUUCUCUCAGGAGGACAGAGCUGCAGACGUACUGGGACUACAAGCAGGCAUCCCAGUCGUACCAGCAGGCCUGGGAUCAGCUCCACGGCCAAGCCUUCCCUCUGUGGCCACGCGGCGACAGGAAACUCCUGCUCUUCCGCUGACAUCCCUCUCUCCUGAAACUUGUGCAGCUGAACUGAUGAGAAACUGGCUUUGCUGUCGCAGGAACUCGGAGUAAGAAGAGCAGAGUGUAGUGUGACUCUCACCUGGACUGGGGGACGGUUUUGUCAACAAAGAGGAAGAUGGCUUUUUCUGAAGGCAGCUGGAUGCGUUUCCUGAUGAUCCACAUGAACUGGGCCACCGUGAUGUCAGAGGGAACCAGGAUGUGACGAUACUAGUCUGUCAGGCUCAGCUGAACCCAGUGAAGCAGCAAAACCCUGUCAGACUUAUAAC